rnacentral:rRNA from 1 species
AUGCACAACAAGAAAAAAGAGUUUCAAGUUUUAAACUCUACUGGUAAAUGCAGCAAAAGAGUUCUUGCAAAGAUUGCUAAGCUGGUAAGCUUGCAACGUUACAUAAAACAAUAUAUAGUUAUUCGAAACGUACUUCAUAUGGAUUUGUCAUUUUUAUUUCAGAGGGCAGAAAUAGCAAAUGAUACAAAGGAGGUGAAUGCUCUUAUUGAAACGGAACAUCCUGACGUAUCAUCCUGGCCAAUAAGGGAGUACAAUAUGCCGUCACAAACAGACGGUCUCUUGUGGUCUUUUCGUGGUGAAAUGCGUUCGAAACUGGGACGGAGAUGA